GACGAACGCUGGCGGCGUGCUUAACACAUGCAAGUCGAACGGAAAGGCCCUGCUUUUGUGGGGUGCUCGAGUGGCGAACGGGUGAGUAACACGCGAGUAACCUGCCCUUGACUUUGGGAUAACUUCAGGAAACUGGGGCUAAUACCGGAUAGGAGCUCCUGCUGCAUGGUGGGGGUUGGAAAGUUUCGGCGGUUGGGGAUGGACUCGAGGCUUAUCAGCUUGUUGGUGGGGUAGUGGCUUACCAAGGCUUUGACGGGUAGCCGGCCUGCGAGGGUGACCGGCCACAUUGGGACUGAGAUACGGCCCAGACUCCUACGGGAGGCAGCAGUGGGGAAUAUUGCACAAUGGGCGGAAGCCUGAUGCAGCAACGCCGCGUGCGGGAUGACGGCCUUCGGGUUGUAAACCGCUUUCGCCUGUGACGAAGCGUGAGUGACGGUAAUGGGUAAAGAAGCACCGGCUAACUACGUG
rnacentral:rRNA from 1 species